rnacentral:rRNA from 1 species
AGUGAACGCUGGCGGCAGGCCUAACACAUGCAAGUCGAACGGAAGCCGAGUAAGGGCUUCUUCUUUCAGGUGGCGAGUGGCGGGCGGGGGUGACACAUAUCCGACUUGCCUUUUUCGGGGGGGCUAAAGUAGGGAAACAUACCUUAUAACCCCAUACGACCUACGUGGGCAAGCAGGGGAUCUUAGGACCUUGCGCGAUUGAAUGACCCGCUGUCGGAUUAGUGAUUUGGCGGGGUAAAGGCCCACCAAGGCGAAGAUCCGUAGCUGGUCUGAGAGGAUGACCACCAACACUGGAACUGGGACACGGUCAAGACUCCUACGGGAGGCAGCAGGGGGGAACAUUGGACAAGGGGCGAAAGCCUGAUCCAGACAUCCCGCGUGGGGGAAGAAGGCUUUCGGGUGGUAAAGCCCGUUAAUUGGGAAGGAAGGGCAGCAGGUUAAUACCCCGCUGUUCUGACGGUACCCAAAGAAUAAGCACCGGCUAACUUCGUG